rnacentral:rRNA from 1 species
CCCUUAGAUGUUCUGGGCCGCACGCGCGCUACACUGACGAAUGCAACGAGCUUAUAACCUUGGCCGAAAGGUCUGGGUAAUCUCCAAAUUUCGUCGUGAUGGGGAUAGAUUAUUGCAAUUAUUAAUCUUCAACGAGGAAUGCCUAGUAAGCGCAAGUCAUCAGCUUGCGUUGAUUACGUCCCUGCCCUUUGUACACACCGCCCGUCGCUCCUACCGAUUGAAUGGUCCGGUGAAGCGUUUGGACUAUGGUUUUCUGACGGUUCGCCAUUGGAUUACCGUGGGAAAUUCGUUAAACCUUAUCAUUUAGAGGAAGGAGAANUCGUANCA